ACGCUCGACACCUACGAGAGGCAGUGGGGAAUAUUGCACAAUGGGGGAAACCCUGAUGCAGCAACGCCGCGUGAAGGAAGACGGUUUUCGGAUUGUAAACUUCUGUUCUUAGUGAAGAUAGUGACGGUAGCUAAGGAGCAAGCCACGGCUAACUACGUGCUAGCAGCCGCGGUAAUCUGAGGCGGGCUGGCAAGGC
rnacentral:rRNA from 1 species